GCAGCCGCCGCGGUAAUACGUAGGGUGCAAGCGUUAAUCGGAAUUACUGGGCGUAAAGCGUGCGCAGGCGGUUAUAUAAGACAGAUGUGAAAUCCCCGGGCUCAACCUGGGAACUGCAUUUGUGACUGUAUAGCUAGAGUACGGCAGAGGGGGAUGGAAUUCCGCGUGUAGCAGUGAAAUGCGUAGAUAUGCGGAGGAACACCGAUGGCGAAGGCAAUCCCCUGGGCCUGUACUGACGCUCAUGCACGAAAGCGUGGGGAGCAAACAGGAUUAGAUACCCCAGUAGUCCCUGUCUCUUAUAC
rnacentral:rRNA from 1 species